CGUAAUCGGGACUAAGUCGUAACAAGUAACCGUAGGUGAACCUGCAGAAGGACA
rnacentral:misc_RNA from 1 species